rnacentral:rRNA from 1 species
GACGAACGCUGGCGGCGCGCCUAACACAUGCAAGUCGAACGAGCGAGAGAGAGCUUGCUUUCUUGAGCGAGUGGCGAACGGGUGAGUAACGCGUGAGGAACCUGCCUCAAAGAGGGGGACAACAGUUGGAAACGACUGCUAAUACCGCAUAAGCCCACGGUGCCGCAUGGCACAGAGGGAAAAGGAGCAAUCCGCUUUGAGAUGGCCUCGCGUCCGAUUAGCUAGUUGGUGAGGUAACGGCCCACCAAGGCGACGAUCGGUAGCCGGACUGAGAGGUUGAACGGCCACAUUGGGACUGAGACACGGCCCAGACUCCUACGGGAGGCAGCAGUGGGGAAUAUUGCACAAUGGGGGAAACCCUGAUGCAGCGACGCCGCGUGGAGGAAGAAGGUCUUCGGAUUGUAAACUCCUGUUGUUGGGGAAGAUAAUGACGGUACCAAACAAGGAAGUGACGGCUAACUACGUG